rnacentral:ncRNA from 1 species
CUGAUGGGCGCGUUCGGGUCAAUUGCGGCUUGCAACACCCGAUCUCGCUCGUCGUGCCCUCCGACAUGGAGGUCGACGAGGGGAGCGCGUGACCGUCAG